rnacentral:lncRNA from 1 species
CAAUUACUUGCCAUCUACUAGGAGCAGGACCUCGUUUCAUGCCCUGUAGUCUUAGCAAGAGGGGAUAUUGGUAUGUCCUUUACUCUGUGGGAGUAGUUUAGACACUAGACAAUCUGGAGCCACUUAGGAGUCAGUGUUUCAGGACAGAGGGGAUAGAGAUGCAGGAGAAAGGCAGUGGAGGAGUUGGCACCAGAUCUGACAGAUGUACGGGCUGUGACCAGAGGUGGUGCUAAUGAAGGUUGCUGAAAGGAACCAUCAGCAGCCCCAUUUUUAGCCUUUUGGCCAUUUGCCUUGUUCUGGGUGUGGUGUGUGGGCACCAUGAUACCCUGCUGGCUAGUGAAAAUGGAUCCAGACCUGUUUAAAAAUAAAUUGGCACCAUGUACCAUGAACUUAAGAUGUUAAUGCCCUUUGACCCAGUAAUUCUCCUUUUGGCAAUCUGUUCGAAGAAACAAAACCUAAAACACAUUUUCACUUCUUUUUAACAUAGGAUGUUAAAGAGAUGUUAGUUGCCACUUUAUUUAUAUUUGCAAAAAGUUGAAAUUAAUCUAAAUGUGAAACCACAGCAGAAUGGUUACAUAAUCUAUGCCAUCUCUUCUUAGUGGAUUAUAUUAUGUAGCGAUAUAGAAGCAUGUGAGGGAAGAUUAUGAAAAUUACAGAAAUGUAUAUGGUAUGAAGAAUAAGAAAUUACAGAGUAGCAUUUUUCUGAAGUGUGUUUCUGGAACACUUGCUCUCAUGUCAAAUGUAUUUGGGAAAUGCCCCUUCCAAGACUGCACAAUGCACAUCCGCACUAAGGUUCUGAGUUCUGAGGUUGAACCUAUUGCUUCUUCAACUAUUUCACCCUGAAGUCUUUUAUCCAUCCAAUAUUUAUUACCAUCCUUAUGCACAAAUGUUCUGUGAAACAGAGUUUUGGGAAAUGGUGGUAUGUAGAAUGGUUAUAAUUAGAUUCAAAUGUCCAUCACAGAGAAAGGAUGGGAAGAAAGAAUGACAAAAUUCAAGCAGGGGUUAUCAGUAGCAAUGACGGGAAAAAUUUAUUAUUCAAAUCUUAUUGUUUGUGCAUUUAGCAGAAAUUCUUGAACAUACAUAUUUCUGUGUUAGUUCUUGUUACUGUGACCAGAAUACUUGACAAGAACAACUUAGAGGAGGAAAGUUUAUGUUUGCUUGUAGUUUCAGAGGUCUCAGUCCCUGGUCAGCUGACUUCAUUGCUUUGAGCCCAAGAUGAGUUAGAAUAUCAUGGCAGAAGGGAAUGGAGGAAGGCCAUUCAACUCAUGGCAGAUAGGAAGCAGAGAAGUGGGACACGAAGGGGCCAUAGAGAAGGCAAACACUUCCAGGGCACACCCGCCCCCAACAACCUGCCACAGUGGCCUACCACUAGACAGGCCCCACCUGUAUUAUCGUACUUACAGUUAACACCAAGUAAAGUACUAUUUUCAAAUUAUUAAUCUAUCAAAUGGAUGAAUCCAUUGAUUAAGCUCCAGUCCCCAUAAUGUAAUCAUUUCACUUCCUUCAUCAACAGGAGCUUUUGGAGGCUACCUCAUAUCCAAACCUGGUCCCCCCAGAGCUCAUGCCCAUCUCACAAUGCAAAAUACAUUAGUUCAUUUCCAAGAGUCCCCACAGUUAACAGUUCAGCCGUGCCCAAAAGUCCAAGUACAAAGUCUUACCUGAGACUCAUGGCUGUAGGCCCCUGUAAAAAUCAAAAGCAAGUUACCUACAUACAGUAUAGAAUGGCACAGCAUAACAUUCCCAUUCCAACAGGAAUGAAUAGGCUUAUAGAGAGAAGGAUUAGGAC